GCUUACGGCCAUACCACCCCCUCUGCGCCAGAUCUCGUCUGAUCUCGGAAGCAAAGCAGGGUCGGGCCUGGUUAGUGUUUGGAUGGGUGACCGCCUGAGAAUACCAGGUGCUUUAGCG
rnacentral:rRNA from 1 species